rnacentral:rRNA from 1 species
AGAUUGAACGCUGGCGGCAUGCUUUACACAUGCAAGUCGAGCGGCAGCGCGGGGGCAACCCUGGCGGCGAGCGGCGAACGGGUGAGGAGCACAUCGGAACGUGCCCCGGGAGUGGGGGAUAACGCCGCGAAAGCGGCGCUAAUACCGCAUAUGCUCUGAGGAGGAAAGCGGGGGACCUGUGGAGGACCUCGCGCGUCUGGGAGCGGCCGAUCGUCCGAUUAGCUAGUUGGUGGGGUAAUGGCUCACCGAAGGCGACGAUCGGUAGCGUGGUCUGAGGAGAGUGAUCACGACCACACGUGGGACUGGAGACGACCGGACCGACGACCUCCGUACGGGAGCGAAGCGAGGUAGGGUAAUUUUGGAACGUAAGUACGGGGGACCUAACCCGUAG